AAAGCAGGCAAAGCAAAAUAUUCCCUCUUUCCAGUGGAUCUGCUGCAGGUCUGGUUCAGGUGGCUUUUUAAAUUUUACUUUUAAAAAAAUCUCUUAUUUCUUGCCUUUAAUAUAUGUAUAUAUAUAUAUAAUCUAAAUUAAAAAAAAACCUCUCACAGACAGUGAAAAGGAGCUCAGUGUUAGUGGGAGAAUAAGUGAAUCAACUAGCAGAGAGCAGAGCAAGUUGAAGUGUCAAAUUACAUUGGCUAUUUUAUUACCAAAGGGCCCUGCUUCUGGCUGUUGGCAAAAUCUGUCCCAGAUUCCUAUCUGAAAGGGAGCUGUCUCUCCUGGAAGGAAGCUUUUCCUCCCUGCAUGUGCCUGUCUCCUCUUCCCCCCUCCCCGCCACCCCGCUUCCCACCGCACCUUCUGACCACCUAAAGUUAAAAUCUUUAAGAGCCAAGUUGAACAACGCAAAUAAUUGUCUUUCGAGAUUUCCCCCUCCCCUCCCCGCCACCCUCAUCAAAGGGAAGAACUUCCUGUCGAGAGAAACCGAGCGCGGCGCGCACACCAUUGCCCGACUGUUUAUAAAAAUUAAUGAAGGGGGGUGUGGAGGGACACACACACACACACCCUUUUGCAAUUUCCAACCCCCCCCAAUAGAAAGACGUCCAUAAUCCAGUGCACUUUUAAACUGGCAACGUUUCCCAGUCUACACGGCCAUUUAAGACCAUUGUUUUACUCUCUGCGUGUGAAUGGAAACCAGUGAGCUCUAAACAUUUUGUAUUUUGACACAGUCCUUGCGCGCGCGGGGGGGUGUGCUUUAUAGAUACAUUAUAGGAGGGAGUUUUGUGGGUGUUUUUUUUUUAAUUACUAGAAAACCAGCAGCUUAAUCCACGAGCCCCGCACGGUGUGUGCCGCCUGGACCUACUUACUAGGAGGUAAAUCUCAUUUAGGUGUAAUAGGGCUUCCUCCCAGGUAAGACGAGCAACCCGUCGUCGUCCCCCCCCUUCUAUCCAGGAAUUUAACCCACUUGAACCCAGCUGUGAUUUACUUCUGAGUAAGCGCCAAUAAAAUCGGAAGGGGGGAGUAGCCAAUGGCAGGAAACGCGUUGACUUUAAAUGUAUUUUUUCCUCUUUAGGAAAAGUCCGAUCCUUUAAGCGGGAUUUGCAAGACGCCCAGCACAGAGAGGCGGAAGGAGGAGGCGAGGAUGUCCCUAAAUCUGCACAACACCCGGAUCUUCCUCUGACAAGAACCGGGAGCGGAGAGAAGAGGGGAGUGGAAACCAGAUCCCGGGAGGAGGAGCUGCGUGUGUGUGUUUUAAUAGCAGAGCCCCGGUAGCGAGGAGGCUGCUGGGUCUCGAUGUUAAUUGAAAGAGAGGUUUGUGGAUGUGCGCCUUUUUUUGUGAAAAUCUCCCGACUACACAAGAGCUCUCGCUGGGGCUCCCUCGUCCUCCUUGCCUUUAAAUUCGCAACCCG